GUUUUAUUUGGCACCAUCGUUUUUCUGAUUUUCUUUUUUUUUAGCCACGAUGUUGUCAGUUUAUUUUCGACUUUUGAGUUUGAAUGUCGCUCUCGUACUUUCGCCUAUCUUUUAAUUUUAAAUUAAACAAUUAUAGUUAAAUUUCAAAUACUGUGUAAUUAGAUUAAUUUAAAUGUAAAUCGCAUACCAAUCACGUUAACAUAGAAGUCUUGAUUAACAAACAAAGAUAAGUUGUACGGCUUGUAAUGAGUUAAUUAUUAAUCCAUGAAAGUGUUGAUCUGUGUACAAACACCGUUAAAAAUGUCUCCAAUCAGUUGCGUAUGGUUUAUCGCAGGUCACUCUGAUUUUGUUCUUGUUUAGAAAUAUGAUAUAGUCAAUAAUUUCAGACAAAAGACUGUUUGACUUUCCAUUUUUUUUUUUGUUACAAGUAGUGCACAU
rnacentral:lncRNA from 1 species